GUGCAGCAGUCGCGAAACUUUACAAUGUGCGAAAGCACGAUAAGGGAACUCUGAGUGCCUCCUAAGGAGGCUGUUCUGAUGUCUAAAAGCAACAGAAGUAAGGGCUGGGUAAGACCGGUGCCAGCCGCCGCGGUAACACCGGCAGCCCAAGUGGUAGCCACGUUUAUUGGGUCUAAAGCGUUCGUAGCCGGCCAGGUAAGUUCCUUGGUAAAUUUAGCCGCUUAACGGUUAAGCUUUCGGGGAAUACUGCUUGGCUUGGGACUGGGAGAGGUCAGAGGUACUCCGGGGGUAGGGGUGAAAUCUAUUAAUCCCUGGGGGACCACCGGUAGCGAAGGCGUCUGACCAGACCAGGUCCGACGGUGAGGGGACGAAGGCUAGGGGGCGCGAACCGGAUUAGAUACCCGUGUAGU
rnacentral:rRNA from 1 species